UGUUUCCUCUCUUAAGCUUUCAUCAUUGUUAAAUGGGUGAAAAAUGUACUUCUACAUGUCAUGAAAUUGAGAUAUAUUAUUCUGGGUACGGCUAUAUGUUGUACUUUUGCCAUUGCUAGCAUAGUUGAUGCUAAAGUCACAAGUUUGCAUGUUGGACUACUGCUAGGUAAAAUAUUUGGUGUUAUAUAAAACCACAUAUUAGUCAUGAUACAGAAGGGGAGCCUUGGCGCAGCGGUACAGCUGUUGCCUUGUCACGGGUUCGAGUCCUGGAAACAGCCUCUUGCAGAAAUGCAGGGAAAGGCUGCGUACAAAAGACCCAAAGUGGUCAGACCCUUUCCCGGACCCUGCGCAAGCGGGAGCUACAUGCACCGUGUUUGGUAUGGGAUCCACAAAUACUAGCAGCAUGAUGGGAAUGCAGCAGCAGCAACAGCAACAACAUCAGCAAGGGGUGUAUGGAAACGUGCAAGGAGGUGGUCAGAACUUGCGACAGCAGGGCAUGGUGGGCCUUCAGAAUCAGCAGAAUCAGUUGCAGAAUCAGAUGCAGAAUCCCAACUUCCCCCAGCAGAGACAGCAAAAUCAACAAUGAUUCAAACUAACUAACAACAUCUUCCUAUAGCGAGCAACAAAUCCUCUUGUCAAGAGAUAAGGGGCAUAGUUGAGACAGUUUUUUCUGCUGGAUAAUCUUUGCUCCUGAGGACAGAAUCAUUGCGUUUCCUCAUGUACUGUUUACAGCACGAGCUGCUACCCUCCAUUUAGCUUUGCUUGCCUGUAGUGGCAGCCUGUUCACGCUGGGUGAAAUCUAAAGUUAGGCAAGUGCGGGAAAACAUGAUAUUGCUGUAAAUCGAUGUAGAUGCAUCAAUGUUGGUGUUUGCAUGCAUUCUCCGGUUUUAAA